CAGCCCCUCCCAGCAGACCUGCAGGUGCAUGGCUAAGUACUGUAUGUGAACUUGCCUCGCGCACUGAAUGCAUGCCUGCACAGGGCUCCCCUGGGUCCUAAACCCUGCUAGGUACAGACAGGGAUUGUAGUAACCACACGCCGGCCACAUUAGUCGAACCCCCCAACUUCAGGAUUGUGUUUUGGGGUUAAAUUUCUGGACUUGUACUCGAGCAAAUACAUAAUAAAAACAUAGGGAGUGGAGGCAGUCGUCGAAUGGUUCUUCCAUUAAAGGCACCACAUGAAGUGCAGGAUGAGGAAAGACUUCUUGCAGCAGAGAGAGGUGAAGUGCAGUGGCAGUGAAUGCAUGGAGUCAGUCCAGCCUGCAGGGGCACUAAGCACACAGUCUGUGCAUGUGUGACAAAUGAACUAACACUCCUCCAGGUUACAUCGCCCAGGGACCACUACCAACCCACAGCCUUAUUAAAAAUAAAAUACUGCAGUCUAUUACAAUGCAAUUUCUGUUCCCAAAACAUAUUACACAAACAAGGCAAACCUUUAAAGUGUCUUUCUAAGUUGGAAUUGCAUCUGAAUAACAUGGUAUAGCUCAAAUAAAAUACUUUUAUAGCUCAAGGUAUGACCAUAACAGUUUUAUUUCCAUUAUCUCAUUGAUAGGUGCAGCUUAAUGGUCUGGGAAGCAUUUUGAUUAAUGUUUAUUUCAUGUUGCAUGCUGUUCCCAUGUUGCUGUUCCCAUGUUGCUGUUCCCAUGUUGCUGUUCCCAUGUUGCUGUUCUCUUACCUCGUUGUAGUAGAUUGCAAGCAUUCCCAGUGGUUCUUAUUGCAGUUUUUAAAUACCGUGCAAUUCCCUUUGAUUAUGAGCUCAUGAGAUGAUCUUCAGUUCUAAUUGCUUACCUAAGACAUAUGGUUCGUAAGCUAGAUCAGAAAAAAUGCAAAGCAGUGUAUUACCAGCAAAGCUAAAGGAAACUUGAUGAGUAGAUAGAUCACAAGAUGAUGUUGGCUCAUACUUUUGUAAAGAUGCUUUGGCUGAGCUGGCCUACAGCACAUAUAUCUGUGUGGCAACUGGAACUGAAGAACAACUUUUAAACACAGAUAAAAGCUCCUUAACAUAUAGUAAUAAGAACCACUCAGUAUGAUUGCUAUCAUCAGUUAAAAACUACAUAUUAUAAUUUAUUAAAUAUCAAUAACCAGUCUUCAUCGCUUAAAAUGUUUGUUUGUAAUAUGAUGAACACUAAAUACGGAAGAAAAAUGGGGUGACAUUUUCUGACCAUCUGGUUUUCAGAAAGUAAGUAGUAAGACAAACCCUUUUUUAUUUUGCUUUCCUGAAAUGCCUUUAAACACUAUUCGUGGAGGAAUCAUUUAUUUUAAGUGAAGAUUUAAUGGACUCUGGUGCCUGAAGAAAUACAGUUUGUAUUUAGUGUCCUUUGAGUUGCUGAAAGAACAGAAUAAUAAAAAAGAUAAAAAACAACCACAACAUAAUUGCAAUAACCUAGAAUGCUUUUGUUGAAUUUCAAAGAUUUCUUGAGAUACAUAUUGUCUUUCAUUCCUGAACCUGAAUCAGACUUCAGGCUGGUGAAAGCUUAACAUCAAGAA